UGCAUUCCCCCCACGUUUGCUGUAAAGUAGCCCAGCAAGCUUUCACCCAAUUUGAUCUUGUGACCUAUUAACUUUAUUUUAUUUAAGAACUAUUUUUUGGUUGAUGACCCUUUGACUUUUGCGCUUUUAAUAAAUACACUCUGGUAAUAGAAAAUAAGAUUAGAAGUGAUGACUGAGUCCAAAAUCUGUGUGUGUGGUGCUUGAUGCAACACACACGUGUUUUAAACACUGCCUUCACGGUCUCAGGGCGAGGUGCCCAUUCUGACUUAUUUUCUAUUCAUAGCAUGUUUCCUUGCACCCAACACACUAAUAUAUAUGCAGUUCUUUUCUUGAAAUUGUGAUAUAUUUGCUGUAGACAUUUGCUCCAGCACCUAUGAAAAAUGUGUGAUUUCUCAUUUCAACUAAAACUAAUAAAGGUUUGCUUUUAGCCAGUUUUUUUUUCUUCCCUUUCUUGAAGUGACACAUUCUCCAUAUUUGUACUGUAUAUCCCUUACAACUUCUGAAAAUGUGUAUGAAAAAGAAGUCUUUAAAUAGAUUUGAAAUUCUAAUCAAACAUGCAGUUUGGUAGUAUUUUGCUUCUUCUUGUCAUUUGAUUCAUAAAAAGUAAGUCUGAACCAGGUUUCCCCAGCCUCACAUUGUCUUAACUCAUCACAUUGAUUAGAUAAGCACAUUGAUGAGCCAAUUGCUGGGGAAUCUAGCUAUGAGAGUGGGGCUUAUCACCAUCUCUUACGCCAGUGUGAAACAGAGUUCAAUUCAUCUGCCUUUUCCCAAAAAUCCAGCUUACCAAAAAAUGCUGAAGACUUUAUCAGCCUAAUAGGUACACUCCAAAAUGGGUCUAGUUACCUGGUGGUGUCAUUGAAAAAUUUCCUUACCUUCCAAAUGAACCUUUUUCUAAAUAGUUUUCCCACAUCUGAUUUCUGCCAAAGUCAGCAUCUCACUUUGGUGUCUUGGGAUAGAAACCAGGUCAUCCUUAUAUGUGCCAUUUACUGUGAAAGUGACCACCUUGGGAGUUACUGUCACCCUGUCUGCCAGCAUCACUGAAACUCUGAAUGACAGGGACAGCAAUGCCCUUCUCUUUUUAAAUAAUUAUGCCAUUUAUUUUCUGCUUCAUAAAUUCUUGAGACAUUAGACAUUUUUAAGAUUUAUAAUUUCAACCUUAAAGAUUUAAUCUAGAAAGAGAUAAUGUUCAGUAUUAAUCUUCUCUUUAGACGCCUUGAUUUAUUUGGUUGACAUUUAUUGAAUGGCUUCUAUGUCUCGAGCCUGGUGCAAAAGGUUAAGAGAAGAUCUUGAACUGAAUCUCUGCCUCUCUUAGGAAUUGUGUGACUCUUCUUAAAGACCAGAUAUGCCCAGCAGCUGACGAAUUGGUCACAGAUAUCUUAUAUACAAAGCUAGAGGAGAAAAUUAAAUUCUAGCAAUGCUGUAAAAUCCUAUUUGAGUCUAUUCUGCCCAUAGCCUUUACCAAACCAGUAAAUAGUACCUAAAUUGACUGAGUUUCUCAUUCUUCUACUUCAUUCUUGUCCCUUUAUUUGAAAAACUAUCUUGAAGACAAAGCAAGUUUAGAUUUUAAAAUUCUAGGGGAAAAUUGGAUAAAUGGCCACCAUACAUAUAAAAAUUUACAAUACUUAGCUGCAAAAUUGACCUUUAUAGUAGCCACACAGAAACUAGUAUGUAUCUGAGAGCUUAGCCAACCAUAAAGGAACUUUGUUAUCACCAUAAGCUUCAUUUGGUCAUUAAAAAUAAUAACACAUUAUUAUGUUACAUAUUAGGCUAGGAAAUGUGUUAAGUGGUGGUGAGGAGGCUGCAGAGAGGAAUAAAAUACAGCCCCUGUCUUUGAGGGACUUAGAUUCUAGCAGGAGUACCAGGGAGUAUUUUAAGUGCUGUGUUAGAGGGAAGAACCCCUAGUUAAUGUGGAAGCAGAAAAGGCAAAGAGUGCACCUGCUUGCCAAGUGGCACAGGGUGCACCACAAGGGAUGGGGAGUCUGCAGGAAGGCCUUAUGAAAUGGAUCACUCUUCAGACAUAUCCCCACACCCAGUGUACAGUGAUUCCAGCAUGGAGAAGGUGUGCAGGUGUAUGAAGCUAUGUAGAGAAGUGCGGCAGGGUUGCCCGUGGCCAGUGUACAGAGAAGCCAGGGGUGGCACACCCAUCAAGUUAAAGGCGGUCUGCCAGGUGUGGGGACUCGGUCCCUUCUGCAGGCAAGAGGGAGCUCCUGAGGGAUUUUUCCAGAGGAGGUGACAGUGGUCAGGCUUGUUCUUUGGAAAGAUCCUUUUGACAGAGCUAUAUAGAGGUUUUGAACAGGGAUAAGACUGAGACCAGGGAAACCUAGAGAAUGGUCCAGGGAAAAGAUGAGCACCCAGUUUGGUCACCCCAGAGGUAAAUGGUGAGGUAAGAAAAAGGUGUGUGUCAAGAUUCCAGAUUUGAACAGUGAGUGGAUUGUGAUAUUGUUCAUCGAGAAUACAGGAUUCCAUAAACAGUUUUGGUCUUGGAAGAUUAUGGGUUCAAUUUUUAUAGAGUUGAGUUGAAGGUACCUAUGGGGAAUCCAGGUGCAGAUGUCAAGGGUGGUGCUUGAAGUUGAGGUUUGGACUGAAGAUUUGGGAGUUGUCAUGAACAGGUAGUUAUUGAUUUAUUUUUUGCUGUGAUGACAAUACCCAGUCCUUACAAUGAUAGUCCAACGCAGUUAUUACUCAGUUCUAUUAUGUUCCCAUUAUUUGGUUUUCUUUUCUAUUGUUCUCCAUCACAGUAGCAACUUUUACUUUCCAAAAUCUUCCAUUUUCAAGGUAAGGAACCCAUCAAGGUUCUCUAAAACAGUUGAAGCAUUUCACGUAAAUUGUCUUCCAGCAUGCACAAAUCUAGAAUCAUCAUGUGCUUUGAUAACUUUAUUUGAAGACUUUACUGUGCUUCUAUUAAAAUAAUUAUAACCCCAGACUCUGAAAAAUCCCUGAUAUUACUUAUUCUUGAGUUGACAGGAAAUAAUUAGAAUCAGUAUUUUUCUCAAAUAAUUUCCCAUUUAAAAAAAAAUCAACUUAAAUUUUCUAAAACUCCAGAAAGAACUCAUUCUCCCCUAGUCUAUCCUCCACAUUAUCUUUUAUGUGAAUUCAUCUCUGUACCCACCACACACACACACACACACACACAGAGUAAUCCAUAAAGUCUUUUUAAUUAUGCACAGUCACAAAUCCCAAGUGAUGCCGGGGAGCUCUUGUUCAUUAUCACCUGCACCGUUGGAGUAGUGGUGUAGAUGGCUUUGAACAAUUUUGUUAACAUUGACUUUUUUGGAAGAAAGCCACUUCUCACCAUGGCCAAAAGGGAAGCCUUCCUCUAGAAUCUUCCUCUGCAGUAUGUAAUUCUCCUUUUUUGGACUGCCUUACUUAUUGGCUGCUUCCAUUGUUGUGUGCAUAUGAGUGGCACAUGAAAUGGAUUAUUCAUUUGUUCACUGGAGGAUUCUUAAUUGAAAGCAGUUUUUCAAGACCAUAAGCACAGGCAAAAGUAUUUGAAAUGAGAAAAAGUAAUGUGUGUGUGUGUGUGUGUGUUAACUUUUGGCGGACUGAGACUUUUUGUGCCUUUUUUCAAUUAAACGAAUAUCAAGAUCAAGUUAUAAAUCCUUGAAAGAACAGGGGUUUAUAAUUGAACUUUCAGCAGAUUGCUUGCCAAAAAACAGUGUAAAUAGAUGGUUUUACUUUAGUUGUGCGUUUUGAUUGAGUGUUUUUAACUAAACAUUAUAUAGGUUUGCCAUACAAAGUAUCAUUCUCUUCUAACCCUGAAAUACUAAGAUAUUAUCUUUGGGGGCCCUGUUGGGGGACUAGACAGCUUUUG